rnacentral:rRNA from 1 species
UACGGAGGGAGCUAGCGUUGUUCGGAAAUACUGGGCGUAAAGCGCACGUAGGCGGCGCAGCAAGUCAGGGGUGAAAUCCCGAGGCUCAACCUCGGAACUGCCCUUGAAACUGCAGUGCUAGAAUCUUGGAGAGGCGAGUGGAAUUCCGAGUGUAGAGGUGAAAUUCGUAGAUAUUCGGAAGAACACCAGUGGCGAAGGCGACUCGCUGGACAAGUAUUGACGCUGAGGUGCGAAAGCGUGGGGAGCAAACAGG